AUUAGACAAGUUAAUUUAUGGAGAAACAAAUAUUAAUUCGAUGGAGAGAUGAUACUUGACAAUUAAUUAUUAAAUUGGAGUAAUUCAUUGAGAAGUAAACACAUGAUUUUAGUAGUACAUAGAAAUCAUUACUAACAUGAAGAUGUUACAGAUAGCAACUCUUAGGCUGAUGAAUCGGAAUUACCACCCAGGAGCUUAGUAGGCAGUUCAAUUAAAAAUUAUCAAAAACAAAUGCGUAAUUCAUCAAAACAUAUACAAAAAAUUAUGGACCUGUUACUUUUUUUCUAUUUGCAAAACACCAAACUACAGUAAACUAAAAUUAAAUACACAGAUACAUGUGAAGGAGCAUGCGUCGGAAAACAAUGACCCAGGGGGUAGCUCUAUGGAAUGCUAUGGAACUGAAUUUACCUAGGUACCAUAAAAAUAUUUAAGGAAAACAAAAACCCCACCUAUCAGCUGUUGUGAACAAUAAGAUAACAAAAGAUGCAAAACACGUGGUAUUUCAACAGAGGGUUGUCCGUCAAGGCUCGUGAAUAUUUUCAACCAUUCGUUCUCCAAACGUCGAACUGUUCAGUACCAAGAUGUUGAAAAAAAAAUUAAAAAUGUUCAAAAAAUUGAACCAUUCUCCAUCGAUAUACUUAAUCAUGAUUCACUGGCAAAAGUUUUGUCUUUUCUAUCAAUUCAAGACAUUAUUAACGCCGAAAAAGUUUGUGAGAAAUGGGCAGAGGCAAGUCAACUGGCUUUGUAUGACAUUCAUAGUGCAACUUGUGUUGGUAAAAAAAUAGAACCAAUAACAUCACGUGGCAAGUUCUUGACCAAAUUAAAAGUAACAAAUACAAAAUUUGAUUUAGACCUAUUAGAAACAAUAAAAAAUGAUUGUGUAAAUUUAAUUGAUCUUGAAUUAAAUUUUGAU